UACGGGGGGGGCAAGCGUUGUUCGGAAUUACUGGGCGUAAAGGGCUUGUAGGUGGCCAACUAAGUCAGACGUGAAAUCCCUCAGCUUAACUGGGGAACUGCGUCUGAUACUGGAUGGCUUGAGUUUGGGAGAGGGAUGCGGAAUUCCAGGUGUAGCGGUGAAAUGCGUAGAUAUCUGGAGGAACACCGGUGGCGAAGGCGGCAUCCUGGACCAACACUGACACUGAGGAGCGAAAGCCAGGGGAGCAAACAGG
rnacentral:rRNA from 1 species